rnacentral:rRNA from 1 species
UGGGGAAUAUUGCACAAUGGGCGCAAGCCUGAUGCAGCCAUGCCGCGUGUAUGAAGAAGGCCUUCGGGUUGUAAAGUACUUUCAGCGGGGAGGAAGGCGAUAAGGUUAAUAACCUUGUCGAUUGACGUUACCCGAAGAAGAAGCACCGGCUAACUCCGUGCCAGCAGCCGCGGUAAUACGGAGGGUGCAAGCGUUAAUCGGAAUUACUGGGCGUAAAGCGCACGCAGGCGGUCUGUCAAGUCGGAUGUGAAAUCCCCGGGCUCAACCUGGGAACUGCAUUCGAAACUGGCAGGCUAGAGUCUUGUAGAGGGGGGUAGAAUUCCAGGUGUAGCGGUGAAAUGCGUAGAGAUCUGGAGGAAUACCGGUGGCGAAGGCGGCCCCCUGGACAAAGACUGACGCUCAGGUGCGAAAGCGUGGGGAGCAAACA